GGUCCCUGCGCAGCGCGCACCCGCCGCGAUGCCCGCGCCGGCGGCCCGGGGUGGGGGCGGGGAGCGCGGUCUUCGCCCCUUCUGUCCCCGCGGUCGCCGCCGGCGCCGCCCCCCGAGGCGAGGAGCGGGCGCCGGGACCCGGUAGCACGGGCGGAGGUGGGGGUUCCCCGGCGGCGGCCCGUAUCGCGGCUUUCUCAGGGAGCGGGGCCGCGCGCGGACCGAGACCCCGGGCCAGAGCGCGGGCCGCGCUAGGGGCCCCCUCUCCUGGGCUCCUGGGACAGGCCUGAAGAGGAACCAGGGCGAUGGCGGCGCCCUCUCUCUGGGAGGCGUCAUCUCAGGCCAGUGAGAAGAAUUCUUCACUAUCAAAUUCUCAUCGUCAGAUGGAAUUAGGAUAUCCUCGACCUACAUUCCUGAGGACACAUAACAAUUAUGGGAUAAAGAAGUACAGCAUCUUAAGUUACAAACUAUUUUACCAAGUCUUAUUUAUUUACAUUAAACUAAAAUUAACUGUCAAGUAAGAACGCUGAUACUUAAAAAUAAGGUAAUUUUAAAUUACAUACGUGGCUUGCAUUUAUUUGUAUUGGACAGUGCUGGUAUAAUCAAAGGAGCCUGGUGAAGAAUAUCUGGUCCCUAUAUUUUAUUUCUGGCAUCAAAAUAUUUUCCUAGUAUAUCUCACUACCCUUUUAUCAAAAGUUAUGUAUUACUCGUCAUUCUUUCUAUUAAUGUUAAGAAUCAUGCUAAUAAGACUGCCAAUAUUUAUUCCUGUAAUAGAAAUAUAAAAAUUUUACACAUCACUUAUAUUGUCAGUGUGUAAUUGUGCACAUAUAACAUUUAUUUUCAGAGUAUUUCCCAUAGUAAGUUUUUAUUUAUUUUUUUUAAAAGAUUUUAUUUAUUUGACAGAGACACAGCAAGAGAGGGAACACAAUCAAGGGGAGUGGCAGAGGGAGGGGGAGAAGCAGGCUUCCCGCUGAGCAGGGAGCCUGAUGCGGGGCUAGAGCCCGAUGCGGGGCUAGAGCCCGAUGCGGGGCUCGACCCCAGGACCCUGAGACCAUGACCUGAGCUGAAGGCAGAUGCUUAAUGACUGAGCUACCCAGGCACCUCCCCCUCCACCCCCCGCCACAUAGUAAGUUUUUAAAAAUAGAAAGUAAACUUAGGUAUUUGUGGGACUAUAUUCAAGGACUGACAGAUUUUGGGGAGAAAUACUUUACUUUAUAUAAUAUGCAAUAUAUAUUUCCAGGACAAAAGCAAACAUAAAAAGUAUAAAAAUAAAAUGACACAAACAC
rnacentral:lncRNA from 1 species